UAUUCACUGGUCUCUUCCUUUUAUUUUAUUGCAGUGAUGUUAGAGAACAAAAGGGAGAGUUAUCAAAAAUUGAGCUGAAGACUGAUAUUUUCCACAUUGCUUCAGAACAAGAAUGCCUAAAAACAGACACAGUGAAGGCAGACUAGAGGAACAAGAAAUAACUUACACAGAUGUGAAAAUUUCCAAAUCUCAACAGAAGCAAAGGAUAUUCAAGAAAGAAGAGUCCUGUAAUAUCAAGUGAACAGGAGGUUAACUAUAUUGAGCUGAGGUUUCACAGAACAUCUCACCUGCUGCACAGAGCACAGCUUGUAGGACAAAAAAAGUGUUUUUUUGCAGAGAAGAACAAAGCAAAAACAUCACACUUUUUCCUACUCUGUCUUCUAAAAGUAAUGGAUGUUCCAGUGGUCUUUGCUCACACAACUGGAUUGGGUAUGGAAAUAGUUACUAUUAGUUUUCCAGUGAAGCCAAAACCUGGGCAGAAAGCCAAUCUGCCUGUGCAGAGCUGAAUUCUCAACCUCUCAAAGUAGACUCUGAAGAAGACCUGAAACUGCCUUCAGUGAUUGAAACGACAUGAUGGAGAGCUUUCAAAACCAAUGAAAACAAUGGAUCCAGGGUGAGGGAAAAUGUCUCCCAACUGAAGGACAGCUUAUUUUUUGUUUUGGAAGGCAAGAACCAGAGUUGUGCUUAUAUGAAUGGAAAGUAUGUGUAUCCUGAAGACUGUUCACCUAGAAAAAUUUAUAUCUGUGAGUUUAAUAUAUAGAAAAAUUUGAUUUAUGCUACCUUGUUGUUAUU